AACAGAUACUCAGGGAGA
rnacentral:misc_RNA from 1 species